CCACUAUUCAGAUGACCCAGGGAAGGUUUUGGCGGGAAACUAGAACAAAGCCGCGGAAGCAAGCCGGACUGCCUGCACAGCUUUUGGGGAGAUUCUAUCAUCAGACGUCACAGUUAUUGUUUUUCCAAGCCAUACAGGAAGAAAAUAGAGGGACAUCUAGCAUGGACUAAGAAGUGGGGCUACUCGCUACUGGAAAGAAGAGCUGGAAGAGACAUUUCAGCCAGACAGGGAAAGAAUGAAGUUCAACAGGAGGGAGAAAGACAGAGGCUGCCACUCAUCAAGUGCAAACCUGAAGAAAUUUAAAGAAGGGCAGAAGAUGGAGAAGAUAAGAUGGAAGAGGAAGUAAAUGAGCGACGAUUGUUGAAGAAAAUGACAUCAUCAUGAUUCUGUCACGAUCCUCAGAAGUUGGAACAACAUGAACAUCAACUGACUGAUCUACCUUGAAUCCGAUAAAGGCGGGCGUUGCCCAGCCAUGCCAACUUGACGUUGGUCUUGUUGCGGUUCUCCCAGAAGAAGUCGGUGAGGAUGCGUACAGGGAUGGCGUUGGUGUGAUACGUGAAGACAGGCAUCCAGAAGAUGGCAUCCCCCAGCGCCUGAACAAACUUCAGGAACUUCUGCCUCUCCUUUUCUGUGGCAAGCCGCUGUCCAACAGGAUGCCACUGUUCCCGAUCACAGCGCAUUUCCGAUGGUGCAUGCCUUGGAGCGGUGACCUCUCCGGUAAGAGGUCAUACAGCAUCGGGGAGAUGGAGAAGACGUAGUUCUCCGGAGACUGGUCAAAGUGCAUGAUGGUACCCGGUUGGACAUCCUUUUUUGUCAGACUUAUUCUUUUCACCACAUUGAAGUACUUCCGAAGACCUUUCCUGUUAGGAGAAGAUGAUUUUCAUUUGAUUAAUGCCAUGAACAGGUAAUAGAAAUAAGUAAAGAUUUUCCACAAAAUGUUGUUUUUAACGUUCAGCCUACUAAAGUAGCCAUUAAUAGACUGCAUGGAUACAGUACCAUUUAAUGUUAGUUCAACUAUAUCUGUGAUUUUGAGGAAUAAUCUACAUGUUGGUUUUAAAACUUAGGGAUAUCAAAAUGAUGGAUGGUCAUUUCAAACUGCAAUGUUUUGAAAAUAUUGCAGUUUUGAACCAGCAUCCAUCAUUUUGAUAUCCUUGUUUUUGAAAACAACGAAAUGGAAAUAAUUUUUUUUCUGUUGAACCACAAAAUAGACAACUUUUUUUCUCUUCCAAGUUAGCUAAAUGUCCUCACAAUUCUGCAUGACAUUGUGAUUCAUUUAGUUGUAGGUAUUGUAUGUAUAUUUCGUAUGCAAAACAUCUUUUUCUCAAGAAGAUGCAAAUAAAUAUCAUAUUGAAAACAGUAAAAGUCAUCUUUUCUAUAACUAAAUAUGAAUUAAGUCAUACCAAUUGAA